GUUGUAUGGUUAAGUGACUAAGCGUACACGGUGGAUGCCUUGGCAGUCAGAGGCGAUGAAAGACGUAGUAACUUGCGAUAAGCCCAGAUUAGGUAGUAACAACCAUUUGAGUCUGGGAUUUCUGAAUGGGGAAACCCACGUGCAUAAGCACGUAUCCUUACCUGAAUACAUAGGGUAAGGAGGCGAACCGGGGGAACUGAAACAUCUAAGUACCCCGAGGAAAAGAAAUCAACCGAGAUUCCGAAAGUAGCGGCGAGCGAAAUUGGACUAGCCCUUAAGCUUUACACGCGUUAGACGAACGGUCUGGAAAGUCCGACGAUACAGGGUGAUAGUCCCGUAGUUGACGACGUGUGUUCAGUGAAAUCGAGUAGGGCGGGACACGUGAUAUCCUGUCUGAAUAUGGGGGGACCAUCCUCCAAGGCUAAAUACUACUGACUGACCGAUAGUGAACCAGUACCGUGAGGGAAAGGCGAAAAGAACCCCUGUGAGGGGAGUGAAAUAGAACCUGAAACCGUGUACGUACAAGCAGUAGGAGCAGGCUUUGUCCUGUGACUGCGUACCUUUUGUAUAAUGGGUCAGCGACUUAUAUUCAGUGGCAAGGUUAACCAUCUAGGGGAGCCGUAGGGAAACCGAGUCUUAACUGGGCGUUCAGUCUCUGGAUAUAGACCCGAAACCAGGUGAUCUAGCCAUGGGCAGGUUGAAGGUUGAGUAACAUCAACUGGAGGACCGAACCGACUAAUGUUGAAAAAUUAGCGGAUGACUUGUGGCUAGGGGUGAAAGGCCAAUCAAACCUGGAGAUAGCUGGUUCUCCCCGAAAGCUAUUUAGGUAGCGCCUCGGACGAAUACUACUGGGGGUAGAGCACUGUUAAGGCUAGGGGGUCAUCCCGACUUACCAACCCUUUGCAAACUCCGAAUACCAGUAAGUACUAUCCGGGAGACACACGGCGGGUGCUAACGUCCGUCGUGGAGAGGGAAACAACCCAGACCGCCAGCUAAGGUCCCAAAUUACUACUAAGUGGGAAACGAUGUGGGAAGGCUCAGACAGCCAGGAUGUUGGCUUAGAAGCAGCCAUCAUUUAAAGAAAGCGUAAUAGCUCACUGGUCGAGUCGGCCUGCGCGGAAGAUGUAACGGGGCUAAGUAGUAAACCGAAGCUGCGGCAAUGUGCUUUUGCACAUUGGGUAGGGGAGCGUUCUGUAAGCGGUUGAAGGUGUGUGGUAACGCAUGCUGGACGUAUCAGAAGUGCGAAUGCUGACAUGAGUAACGAUAAAGGGGGUGAAAAACCUCCUCGCCGGAAGACCAAGGGUUCCUGUCCAACGUUAAUCGGGGCAGGGUAAGUCGACCCCUAAGGCGAGGCCGAAAGGCGUAGUCGAUGGGAAACGGGUUAAUAUUCCCGUACUUCUUACAAUUGCGAUGGGGGGACGGAGAAGGCUAGGUGGGCCUGGCGACGGUUGUCCAGGUUCAAGUGCGUAGGCUUAAGAGUUAGGUAAAUCCGGCUCUUUUUAAGGCUGAGACACGACGUCGAGCACCUACGGGUGUGAAGUCAUUGAUGCCAUGCUUCCAGGAAAAGCC
rnacentral:rRNA from 1 species